rnacentral:rRNA from 1 species
AUUGAACGCUGGCGGAAUGCUUUACACAUGCAAGUCGAACGGCAGCACGGACUUCGGUCUGGUGGCGAGUGGCGAACGGGUGAGUAAUGUAUCGGAACGUGCCCAGUCGUGGGGGAUAACGUAGUGAAAAUUACGCUAAUACCGCAUACGAUCUAUGGAUGAAAGCGGGGGAUCGCAAGACCUCGCGCGAUUGGAGCAGCCGAUAUCAGAUUAGGUAGUUGGUGGGGUAAAGGCCCACCAAGCCAACGAUCUGUAGCUGGUCUGAGAGGACGACCAGCCAAACUGGAACUGAGACACGGUCCAGACACCUACGGGAGGCAGCAGUGGGGAAUUUUGGACAAUGGGCGAAAGCCUGAUCCAGCCAUUCCGCGUGCAGGAUGAAGGCCCUCGGGUUGUAAACUGCUUUUGUACAGAACGAAAAGGUUUCUACUAAUACUAGGAGCUCAUGACGGUACUGUAAGAAUAAGCACCGGCUAACUACGUGCCAGCCGCCGCGGUAA